rnacentral:rRNA from 1 species
UUAAGUUAGAAAGGGCGCACGGUGGAUGCCUUGGCACUAGGAGCCGAUGAAGGACGGGACGAACACCGAUAUGCUUCGGGGAGCUGUAAGCAAGCUUUGAUCCGGAGAUUUCCGAAUGGGGAAACCCACCACUCGUAAUGGAGUGGUAUCCAUAUCUGAAUACAUAGGAUAUGAGAAGGCAGACCCGGGGAACUGAAACAUCUAAGUACCCGGAGGAAGAGAAAGCAAAUGCGAUUCCCUGAGUAGCGGCGAGCGAAACGGGACCAGCCCAAACCAAGAGGCUUGCCUCUUGGGGUUGUAGGACACUCUGUACGGAGUUACAAAGGAACGAGGUAGAUGAAGAGGUCUGGAAAGGCCCGCCAUAGGAGGUAACAGCCCUGUAGUCAAAACUUCGUUCUCUCCUGAGUGGAUCCUGAGUACGGCGGAACACGUGAAAUUCCGUCGGAAUCCGGGAGGACCAUCUCCCAAGGCUAAAUACUCCCUAGUGACCGAUAGUGAACCAGUACCGUGAGGGAAAGGUGAAAAGCACCCCGGAAGGGGAGUGAAAGAGAUCCUGAAACCGUGUGCCUACAAGUAGUCAGAGCCCGUUAACGGGUGAUGGCGUGCCUUUUGUAGAAUGAACCGGCGAGUUACGAUCCCGUGCAAGGUUAAGCAGAAGAUGCGGAGCCGCAGCGAAAGCGAGUCUGAAUAGGGCGAAUUGAGUACGUGGUCGUAGACCCGAAACCAGGUGAUCUACCCAUGUCCAGGGUGAAGUUCAGGUAACACUGAAUGGAGGCCCGAACCCACGCACGUUGAAAAGUGCGGGGAUGAGGUGUGGGUAGGGGUGAAAUGCCAAUCGAACCUGGAGAUAGCUGGUUCUCUCCGAAAUAGCUUUAGGGCUAGCCUCAAGGUAAGAGUCUCGGAGGUAGAGCACUGAUUGGACUAGGGGCCCCUACCGGGUUACCGAAUUCAGUCAAACUCCGAAUGCCGAUGACUUAUCCUUGGGAGUCAGACUGCGAGUGAUAAGAUCCGUAGUCGAAAGGGAAACAGCCCAGACCGCCAGCUAAGGUCCCAAAGUAUACGUUAAGUGGAAAAGGAUGUGGAGUUGCUUAGACAACCAGGAUGUUGGCUUAGAAGCAGCCACCAUUUAAAGAGUGCGUAAUAGCUCACUGGUCGAGUGACUCUGCGCCGAAAAUGUACCGGGGCUAAACGUAUCACCGAAGCUGCGGACUGUUCUUCGAACAGUGGUAGGAGAGCGUUCUAAGGGCUGUGAAGCAAGACCGGAAGGACUUGUGGAGCGCUUAGAAGUGAGAAUGCCGGUAUGAGUAGCGAAAGAGGGGUGAGAAUCCCCUCCACCGAAUGCCUAAGGUUUCCUGAGGAAGGCUCGUCCGCUCAGGGUUAGUCGGGACCUAAGCCGAGGCCGAAAGGCGUAGGCGAUGGAUAACAGGUUGAUAUUCCUGUACCACCUCCUCACCAUUUGAGCAAUGGGGGGACGUAGGAGGAUAGGGUAAGCGCGGUAUUGGAUAUCCGCGUCCAAGCAGUUAGGCUGGGAAAUAGGCAAAUCCGUUUCCCGUGAAGGCUGAGCUGUGAUGGCGAGCGAAUUAUAGUAGCGAAGUUCCUGAUUCCACACUGCCAAGAAAAGCCUCUAGCGAGGUGAGAGGUGCCCGUACCGCAAACCGACACAGGUAGGCGAGGAGAGAAUCCUAAGGUGAUCGAGAGAACUCUCGUUAAGGAACUCGGCAAAAUGACCCCGUAACUUCGGGAGAAGGGGUGCUCUGUUAGGGUGCAAGCCCGAGAGAGCCGCAGUGAAUAGGCCCAGGCGACUGUUUAGCAAAAACACAGGUCUCUGCGAAGCCGUAAGGCGAAGUAUAGGGGCUGACGCCUGCCCGGUGCUGGAAGGUUAAGAGGAGCGCUUAGCGUAAGCGAAGGUGCGAAUUGAAGCCCCAGUAAACGGCGGCCGUAACUAUAACGGUCCUAAGGUAGCGAAAUUCCUUGUCGGGUAAGUUCCGACCCGCACGAAAGGCGCAACGAUCUGGGCACUGUCUCAACGAGAGACUCGGUGAAAUUAUAGUACCUGUGAAGAUGCAGGUUACCCGCGACAGGACGGAAAGACCCCGUGGAGCUUUACUGCAGCCUGAUAUUGAAUGUUGGUACAGCUUGUACAGGAUAGGUAGGAGCCUUGGAAAUCGGAGCGCCAGCUUCGGUGGAGGCAUCGGUGGGAUACUACCCUGGCUGUAUUGACCUUCUAACCCGCCGCCCUUAUCGGGCGGGGAGACAGUGUCAGGUGGGCAGUUUGACUGGGGCGGUCGCCUCCUAAAAGGUAACGGAGGCGCCCAAAGGUUCCCUCAGAAUGGUUGGAAAUCAUUCGCAGAGUGUAAAGGCACAAGGGAGCUUGACUGCGAGACCUACAAGUCGAGCAGGGACGAAAGUCGGGCUUAGUGAUCCGGUGGUUCCGCAUGGAAGGGCCAUCGCUCAACGGAUAAAAGCUACCCCGGGGAUAACAGGCUUAUCUCCCCCAAGAGUCCACAUCGACGGGGAGGUUUGGCACCUCGAUGUCGGCUCAUCGCAUCCUGGGGCUGUAGUCGGUCCCAAGGGUUGGGCUGUUCGCCCAUUAAAGCGGUACGCGAGCUGGGUUCAGAACGUCGUGAGACAGUUCGGUCCCUAUCCGUCGCGGGCGCAGGAAAUUUGAGAGGAGCUGUCCUUAGUACGAGAGGACCGGGAUGGACGCACCGCUGGUGUACCAGUUGUUCUGCCAAGGGCAUCGCUGGGUAGCUAUGUGCGGACGGGAUAAGUGCUGAAAGCAUCUAAGCAUGAAGCCCCCCUCAAGAUGAGAUUUCCCAUUCCGCAAGGAAGUAAGAUCCCUGAAAGAUGAUCAGGUUGAUAGGUCUGAGGUGGAAGUGUGGCGACACAUGGAGCUGACAGAUACUAAUCGAUCGAGGACUUAACCAA